rnacentral:lncRNA from 1 species
GGUCCCCAGGGUGGUUUAGGGAUCCCUAGGAAGGGUUUUGGGGUCCCCAGGGGGGGUUUUGGGGUCCCCAGGAAGGGAUUUUGGGGUCCCCAGGGUGGUUUUGGGGUCCCCAGGAAGGGAUUUUGGGGUCCCCAGGGGGGUUUUGAGGUCCCCAGGGUGGUUUUGGGGUCCCCAGGGGUAUUUUGGGGUCCCCGGGGAGGUUUUGGGGUCCCCAGGGGUAUUUUGGGGUCCCCAGGGUGGUUUUGGGGUCCCCAGGGGUAUUUUGGGGUCCCCAGGGUGGUUUUGGGGUCCCCAGGAAGGGAUUUUGGGGUCCCCAGGAAGGGAUUUUGGGGUCCCCAGGGUGGUUUUGGGGUCCCCAGGGGUAUUUUUGGGGUCCCCAGGGGUAUUUUGGGGUCCCCAGGGUGGUUUUGGGGUCCCCAGGGUGGUUUUGGGGUACCUUGGCCGUGGCGUGGGCGCGGAUUUCGGGGGUCCCCGCGAUGUCCAAGGUGUCGUAGAGCUGCUCAUAGACCUGGGGGGGACCCCAGGAUUGGGGGGGACCCCAAAACCCCAGGGCAGCCCCCCCAAACCCCCCGAGGGGCAGCAGAGAGAUUUGGGGGGACCCCAAAUUGGGGGGAGGGGUCGCAGGAAGGAUUUUGGGGAGAUUUUGGGGAGUUGGGGCGAAAUCGGGGAGGGGUUUGUGGGGCCACCUGGGAUUUUGGGGUCCCCUGGAUGGAUUUUGGGGUUCCCCAGGUGCAUUUUGGGGUUCCCCAGGUGGGUUUUGGGGUGGAUUUUGGGGUCCCCUGGGUGGAUUUUGGGGUUCCCAGGUGGGUUUUGGGGUUCCCAGGUGAGUUUGGGGUGGGUUUGGGGGUUCCCAGGUGAGUUUUGGGGUUCCCAGGUGGAUUUUGGGGUUCCCUGGUGCAUUUUGGGGUGGAUUUUGGGGUUCCCAGGUGGGUUCUGGGGUGGUUUUGGGAUUCCCAGGUGGUUUUGGGGUUCCCAGGUGAGUUUGGGGUGGGUUUGGGGGUUCCCAGGUGAGUUUUGGGGUUCCCCAGGUGGGUUUUGGGGUGGAUUUUGGGGUCCCCUGGGUGGUUUUUGGGGUUCCCAGGUGGGUUUUGGGGUUCCCAGGUGGUUUUUGGGGUUCCCAGGUGGGUUUUGGGGU